rnacentral:rRNA from 1 species
AUUGAGCGCUGGCGGCAGGCCUAACACAUGCAAGUCGAGCGGAUGAAGGGAGCUUGCUCCUGGACUCAGCGGCGGACGGGUGAGUAAUGCCUAGGAAUCUGCCUGGUAGUGGGGGAUAACGUCCGGAAACGGGCGCUAAUACCGCAUACGUCCUGAGGGAGAAAGUGGGGGAUCUUCGGACCUCACGCUAUCAGAUGAGCCUAGGUCGGAUUAGCUAGUUGGUGGGGUAAAGGCCUACCAAGGCGACGAUCCGUAACUGGUCUGAGAGGAUGAUCAGUCACACUGGAACUGAGACACGGUCCAGACUCCUACGGGAGGCAGCAGUGGGGAAUAUUGGACAAUGGGCGAAAGCCUGAUCCAGCCAUGCCGCGUGUGUGAAGAAGGUCUUCGGAUUGUAAAGCACUUUAAGUUGGGAGGAAGGGCAGUAAGUUAAUACCUUGCUGUUUUGACGUUACCAACAGAAUAAGCACCGGCUAACUUCGUG